rnacentral:rRNA from 1 species
UACGUAGGGUGCAAGCGUUGUCCGGAAUUAUUGGGCGUAAAGAGCUCGUAGGCGGUUUGUCGCGUCUGCUGUGAAAACCCGAGGCUCAACCUCGGGCCUGCAGUCGAUACGGGCAGGCUAGAGUUCGGCAGGGGAGACUGGAAUUCCUGGUGUAGCGGUGAAAUGCGCAGAUAUCAGGAGGAACACCGGUGGCGAAGGCGGGUCUCUGGGCCGAUACUGACGCUGAGGAGCGAAAGCGUGGGGAGCGAACAGG